rnacentral:rRNA from 1 species
GAUUGUAGGCUGAAACUCGCCUACAUGAAGCUGGAGUUGCUAGUAAUCGCGAAUCAGCAUGUCGCGGUGAAUACGUUCCCGGGCCUUGUACACACCGCCCGUCAAGCCAUGGGAGCCGGGGGUACCUGAAGUCCGUAACCGCGAGGAUCGGCCUAGGGUAAAACUGGUGACUGGGGCUAAGUCGUAACAAGGUAGCCGUACCGGAAGGUGCGGCUGGAACACCUCCUUUCUGGAGCUU